rnacentral:rRNA from 1 species
AGUGAACGCUGGCGGUAGGCCUAACACAUGCAAGUCGAACGGCAGCACAGUAAGAGCUUGCUCUUACGGGUGGCGAGUGGCGGACGGGUGAGGAAUACAUCGGAAUCUACUUUUUCGUGGGGGAUCACGUAGGGAAACUUACGCUAAUACCGCAUACGACCUACGGGUGAAAGCAGGGGAUCUUCGGACCUUGCGCGAUUGAAUGAGCCGAUGUCGGAUUAGCUAGUUGGCGGGGUAAAGGCCCACCAAGGCGACGAUCCGUAGCUGGUCUGAGAGGAUGAUAUGCCACACUGGAACUGAGACACGGUCCAGACUCCUACGGGACGCAGCAGUGGGGAAUAUUGGACAAUGGGCGCAAGCCUGAUCCAGCCAUACCGCGUGGGUGAAGAAGGCCUUCGGGUUGUAAAGCCCUUUUGUUGGGAAAGAAAAGCAGCAGGUUAAUACCCCGCUGUUCUGACGGUACCCAAAGAAUAAGCACCGGCUAACUUCGUG